rnacentral:rRNA from 1 species
GGACUACUAGGGUUUCUAAUCCGGAUCGCUCCCCACGCUUUCGCUCCUCAGUGUCAGAACCGGUCCAGGAAGCCGCCUUCGCCACUGGUGUUCCUCCCGAUAUCUACGCAUUCCACCACUACACCGGGAAUUCCGCUUCCCCCUACCGGCCUCGAGCCCGCCAGUAUCGAAUGACCCCUCCCAGUUGAGCCGGGAGAUUUCACAUCCGACUUGACGUGGCCACCUACAAGCCUUUUACGCCCAAUAAAUCCGGACAACGCUCGCCCCCUACGUAUUACCGCGGCUGCUGGCAC